rnacentral:rRNA from 1 species
CCCCAGACUCCUACGGGAGGCAGCAGUGGGGAAUAUUGCACAAUGGGGGAAACCCUGAUGCAGCGACGCCGCGUGAGCGAUGAAGUAUUUCGGUAUGUAAAGCUCUAUCAGCAGGGAAGAAGAUGACGGUACCUGACUAAGAAGCCCCGGCUAACUACGUGCCAGCAGCCGCGGUAAUACGUAGGGGGCAAGCGUUAUCCGGAUUUACUGGGUGUAAAGGGAGCGUAGACGGCGAUGCAAGCCAGAUGUGAAAGCCCGGGGCUCAACCCCGGGACUGCAUUUGGAACUGUGUGGCUGGAGUGUCGGAGAGGCAGGCGGAAUUCCUAGUGUAGCGGUGAAAUGCGUAGAUAUUAGGAGGAACACCAGUGGCGAAGGCGGCCUGCUGGACGACAACUGACGGUGAGGCGCGAAAGCGUGGGGAGCAAACAGGAUUAGAUACCCCGGUA